rnacentral:lncRNA from 1 species
UUGAGGAUGGCUGAAUCUUUCUUCUCUUUUUUUUUUUUCAAAGCAAUGGCAAUGGAGGCUAGGGUUCUUUGUGGUGGAAGGAAGGAGGAAGAAGAUGGGUUGCUGGUUGGUGAGAUUGGGUUCAAGGAGGGUCAGCCAAUGGACCAAAAUUUGGCACCAAUUUUUGUGGGGGCUGAAAUUGGCUAGACCAAUUUUUUUAGGCUGAAUUGGGUUAUGUGGAGUCCUAAUGGCAA